rnacentral:lncRNA from 1 species
UGAUUUUACUAAUCUCUCGAAGUUCGUUUUCUUUAAGGUGUUGUGUUGGGCGCCAUGAGGAAAAGAGAGAGAUGCGUACCCAGAAUUGGAAUUGCAGGAUGAAACGGCCCUGCCUCUUGAGCUCCAUCUCAGCUCUCCUUCCACUCUGCUAGCUUUGCUAACAUCUCUUCAGCCUUCAAAACCCCAACUACUACCUCAUCUGGGAAGCCUUCUUGACUACCCCACCUCCAUCACGACCACUUUGGAGUUCACCUGCCCUCCUCCGGGCCUCCUGGGCCUCACACAGGCCUCAGUCAGCCCCCAUCACCCGCUGUAGGGCAAGUAACCUGUCUACACAGCUGCUCCUCCUCGGCACUCUGAGCACCUUCAAGAGAGUUCCAGAAUGGAUUCAUGUGACUUGGCCUUUUUGGAACUGGACCACCUUGGAGAUCAUCUGGGAGAGGGCACUGAGACCUGCAGAAAUGGAAUGGCCUACCCAGGACACAUCUAGAAGAUUAAGAGACACUGGGGUAACAUAGGGAUGCUGGACUGGGAGUCCUAGACCUCCUGGUCCUGGCUCUACCAUGACGCAUGCUGCCCUGCUGAGCCCACGCCUUUGCCCCUGGGACGCAGAACAUGCCAGGCAGGCAUCUCCCACCUGCCUCUCCAUGCGGGCAGGGAGACUAGCCCUCACUGAGUCCCGAGCUCUGGGACACAAGCUUUACCUCCCUCGUUUUAUUUGAUCCUCCCAACAAGCCUGUGUCAUCUUACAGGUGAGAAAACCGAGGCCUGGAGAAGUCCAAGAAUUCUCCUAAACUCAUCUAGCUAAUGGUAGUGCUGGGUUUCAAACCAGCUUCCUCUGACUCCCAAGCCCAAGCCCUCUCCAUUCCACCAACAGGCCCCUGAUCUCUGCGGCCCAGGUUCCUCCACAUCUAGCUCUCCUGGGACCUCAAGGUAGCAGACGUCAGUGCGCGUUGCUGCUGAGUCCGGUGCUCACCAUUAGGCAGACAAGGAGACCCGAGUGGUGCAGGCCUGAGGCCCUCCACACUAAGGAAGGCGGGCGUAAGCAGAGUGGGGAAGAGGCCACUGUCGACAGCUCUCCUCUGGGGCACCGAAUCUCAGGGGCACAACAAAAGAGAGGGAGCUGUUUAAUAAUUACAGCUGUCUUGUUCAGAGUGACAGGGAGAGAAAUAUUGCUGGGGAGGAAAGCAUAAAAGAAAGAGGCAAAGGAGGACUGGAGUAGCCUUCAGGGAGGGUUGCAUGGAGCCAAGGAGGGCGCGAAGGUCCAUGGUGAGCCCUGGCGUCCAGCAGGUGAGCCUCCUGCUGCCUGCUGCUUUCCUCCAUCCCGCACCCCUCAACAGCUGCCCCGGAUGCUGCAUGUCUGCAGGCCACAGGCCUGCUCCCAAGGAUGCCCGCGUCCACGCAGGAGGAGCAGGGACCCGCCCUCCUCUCUCGGAUCUCUGUUCUUUUUAUAACCAAGCUUGCAAGCAGCAAGGGAUAAGCUGAGCCAUUAGAAGGGUCUCACCCCAGCUCCUGUCUUGGUCCCUGCAGCUGGUCAGAGGCUUCUGCAGCCACUGGAACAUUGCUGUCUGGACCCUGCCCCCACCCCCAGCAGCCUGGGCGGUCCACUGCUUUACCUCAUCCCGUUUCCAUGAAUACCGGGUGCUCAGCAAGGACAGGGGAGCCCACUGAUGGAACCCUGAGGGUCUCCUCUCUAGUUGUGAGCCAGCUUCGAAGGUGACAGAUGAGCUAAUUAACCCCAGGAGCCACCAGGCCCGCCCCUCCCUGUCUUGUUCAUCCCAGCUCCUCCCAACCCAUCUUUCUGGCCCAGACCCCGUAUCUUCGUUGCAGCCUCAAAUAGCUGUGUUUCCGAAAUGUAAAGUGCGGUUUCUCUUCUAAUUACAAAAAUAACAGCUGACAAACACGUGCCAGAGCUCCCCUCUUUUUCUCCUGAGCUAACAGCCCCAUUAGGACAGAUCCUGUUAUCGUCUAUGCCCUCUCCAUAUAUUUUAUGGAACAGCCUCAAAAGUGCUCUGCGUCGGGCUCUCCCUCCCUCUCUUUCUUUUUCAAGGCAAUGGCUUUGUGAAAGCUGAGGGGAAAAAUAAAGCCUUUUACUAAAAUGUCACUCUGGGAAAAGGGGGGAAAUUUCCUAAUAGGCCAUGGAAGGCUUGCUUUUUUUUUUUAAGUGUGAUAAAUUUGGCCUGUCUUAAAAAGACAGCUCACUGUUGCUUAUCAACUGUGAUUUGACCAGAUAGCCGUUUCAAAAAAUAGACACUGGUCUUUUUAUAAUAAAUGAAAGCAAUAAAACCAAGAGCUGGGCCAGAACUAUAAUUAAGAAUCAGAAGCUGAAAAGGGUGGGUGUGUCACUGCAGGGCAGAGUCCAGUCAUGGGCAGGAGGAGUGGGCCAGGCUGGCCGGGAGGCCUGGGGACAACCCCCAUCCCAAGGGGAGGUGCCUCUGUUGUCCCCACUCUCCCCUUCUUUUUCCUUCUCAUUUUGGGAGAGUUCCUUCCCUGGGCAGAUGGACAGAUGGGCCCGGGGGUGGGGAGGAUGGCCGAGGAGGGGCUCAUCGCCCACCCCCUACGCCAAAUCCAGCGCCUAUUUGAAACGCAGCCAGAAAUCCCCCUCCCUGCUCUGUCUGUGCACAAUAAACGUCCCAGACUCGCUACUCCUAAAGAGCUGUCUGUUGAACACAAUCUCCAUCUCAAGCGGCUGUUUUGCAUUUCCUUUUGGCUUUAUUAAAACUGAUUUUCUAUUUGCACUAUAAAAACUGAUCUGAUUAAAUUUCCAUUCUUCCCCAAAGAAAAGACUCUUCUCUGUCUCUCUCUCACCCUCUCUCUCCCUCUCUCCCAUCUCUGUCUCUCCAUCUCUCCCCUGUCUCCCUCCCUCUCCGAUCUCCCUCUCUCUCCUCUCUUUCUCUCUCUCUCCCUCUCUCUCUUUCUCUCCUCUCUCUCUUCCUCUAUCUCUCCUCCCUCUCUCUCUGUCUCCUUCUCUCCCCUCCAUCUCUCCUUCACCUUCCUAUCUUUUCUCCCGCCCGCUCUACCUCUUCCUCCUUUUUUUCUUUCCCUAAACAACUAAUUCUUGAUCAUUCUCCCUCCUCAUCUCUCUCUUAUCCCCGCACAGGGUCCCCAUCAC